UACGUAGGGGGCAAGCGUUAUCCGGAUUUACUGGGCAUAAAGGGCGCGUAGGUGGUACUUUAAGUCGGAUGUGAAAUCUCUCAGCCUAACUGAGAAGCUGCAUUCGAAACUGAAGUGCUAGAGUACAGGAGAGGAAAGCGGAACUCACGGUGUAGCGGUGAAAUGCGUAGAUAUCGUGGGGAACACCAGUUGCGAAGGCGGCUUUCUGGACUGUUACUGACACUGAGGCGCGAAAGCGUGGGGAGCAAACAGG
rnacentral:rRNA from 1 species